UCGAGAAUUUUUCUCAAUGGGGGCAACCCUGAAGGAGCGACGCCGCGUGGAGGAUGAAGGCUUUCGGGUUGUAAACUCCUGUCAUUUGAGAACAAGUGCUAGUAACUAACUACUGCUAGCUUGAUAGUAUCAGAAGAGGAAGAGACGGCUAACUCUGUGCCAGCAGCCGCGGUAAUACAGAGGUCUCAAGCGUUGUUCGGAUUCAUUGGGCGUAAAGGGUGCGUAGGUGGCGUCGUAAGUCAGGUGUGAAAUCUCGGGGCUUAACUCCGAAACUGCAUUUGAUACUGCGGUGCUUGAGGACUGGAGAGGAGACUGGAAUUCAUGGUGUAGCAGUGAAAUGCGUAGAGAUCAUGAGGAAGACCAGUGGCGAAGGCGGGUCUCUGGACAGUUCCUGACACUGAGGCACGAAGGCCAGGGGAGCAAACGG
rnacentral:rRNA from 1 species